UACCAUCUUCAUUGGUACGAAUGGAACAAGUGAGAAGAGAGUAACUAGCCAACACAGUCAACAUACGUUCAAGCCUCUCAGCCAAUUCAGGGUGUUGAUUUGGAAGCUCAGAAGCAAUUUCAUAAGCAGAAAAACUAGAAUGUUCAUUUGAAUUUUGUAACUUAGCUAUGAUUUCAAAUAAAUUGAGAUCAACAGCAGCAUUUAGUAUAGCAGGAAAAACCCUACUAAAACAUAAUAACAAUGCAGAAAGAUAAGCAUCAUCAACUUUUUCUACCUCAUUAGUAGCAAGAUUAUUUUGUUUAGUAUUGGAACUCAUUUUUGCUAGGUUCGAUCUAUAUGGCACACUUCGUUUGUUUGUUUGUUUUUUUUGGGUUAUUUGCUUCAACUUUGUAACCCUAUAUAUAGACACAAUGUAUCCGUACAUAUAUAUCAAUGUUGCUUAUUAAGACACGUAGGAAUCCAAUUUGUCUAAUCUUUUUGUGCACAUUUUCAAACAUGUGCAGGUAGGUGAGGAAAAAAAAAUUCUAUUUAUGGAAUUGUCUGGUAUGAUUUAUUAGGUAUAGAUCAUUCUUUUUUUAGAUAAGUCGACAUAUAGCCAUGCAUCUUUACUCAAAUUAUGGAAAAAAAUAUUUUUUUUCUACUUUAAGCUAACUCCCCUCUACCGUUCCAGAACUGAUAUUUCUCUUAUCUCAACUUUCAUUCAAUCAAACGAAAGAAGAUAAACAAACAUUUUUCAAAAGUGUGUGUGUAUAUAUAUAUAUAUGGGUUUGCUAGAACAUACCCACUAGUUUUUAUGUGGGAGUGUUUUAGCGCAAAGUUACACCUUAAGGUGUAUUUAACCACUUUUUAGUUAUUCAAUUGCUAAAAUACUCCUUCUAAAAACUAAGUGGGUGUAUCCUAGCAAAUGCCUAUAGGAUUUGCUAGAACACACCCACUUAUUUUUGUUAGAAGGUGUGUUAUAGCAACAUACACCUUAAGGUGUAUUUAUUAACUUUUUAAUUAUAACUUGCUAAAACACUCCCACAUAAAAACUAGUGGGUGUGUUCUAGCAAAUCCCAUAUAUAUAUAUAUAUAUAUAUAAGAAAUUUAUAGACUUCAGCUUGAACAUACAACUCGGCCAUCUAUUUUUCAGUUUAGCAUGAACUAUGUGAGGUGACUUGACGGCUAAGGUAGCUAGCUUAGAGUUAUAUUCAAUCCAUAAAUGAUGUCUGAUGGACGAAUUGACAAGUACGCCAAAAUGUAACAAGUAAUAAAGUGAUAAGUUAUCGUCUCUACAAGGAUUAUCUUUCAAAGAAACUGUUAAGAGUUCCACAUCGGAUAGGACAUGGCCUGGCAAUGUGUAUAUAAGUUGGGGUAAUCCUCACCAUUUAUAUCGGAUCAGAUGAAGGCGACCAAGAAUUCGACAUAGCUUUUGGCGAAGUCAAAACAUGGAGGUUGGCAUAGCUGAACUAAAACCAGGGCCUCCAUAUACGUGUAAAUCGUUAAACCUCUCUAAUGGGAACAAUCCUAUAAAACCAAGUAAUGAAAGAUAUGUUCCAAAAACAUAUACCUUCGACGUAACCAAAUGCUACAAGAUUUAUGAUCUCUUAGUUGCUGAUGGUCAAGGGGAAGUACCCAAGGUUUGAAAAUCCCACCACUAGAACAACGUCAGAAAAGAGAUUUUUGUAAAUAUCAUAAUUUUUUGGGACAUAACACCUCACAAUGUUCCCUUUUCAAAGAUUUGGUUCAGAAGGGUCUCAAUGAAGGAAGAUUUAAGUUUGGAAACAAGCCGAAGCCUCAAAUGCAAGUAUGACUUUGAUCCUUUGAAGGAUGCGAGCAUGAUGUACACUAACAUUGCAGGUUGCAAUAUGGUCGAAGCGAUCAUUGAUGUUGUCAAAGACCUAUCUAUCGAAACGGAAGGGGGAACAUAAGCUGAUGUUGCAGAACAUUGAAUGGUGAACAUCACUAAAUAUGUAGAACACGUCGAAGAGACUGCUCCAGAUCCACAAUUCGGAUAUACUUAGGAUAUGUUUGGAUUGAGGAUUUAGGAGAGAAAUGGAGGAGAUAGUUUACUUUUCUUUUUUUAAUUAUGGACAUCAUAAAACGAUUUUUAGAAAAUUGAAUUAACAACAUGAUAAAUGAUCAUAUAAUACACAAAAAACACUUAAUUUAUUUAUAAAAAAAAAAAAAACAUUUUUCAUUGUUUGUAAUUUAAAAAAUAAAAAUGAGUCCUCCACUCUCUUUCCCUCCUAAACCCUCAAUCCAAAGAUACCCCAAGCAUAUCCGAAAAAUUGCUCUUUAGGCACAUAUAAUUUGCUCAGGCACAUCAAACCAAAGAAAAUACUCAACAUCAAUUAAUUACAAUUUGUUUUAAGAUGGUAGUUAUUUGUUAUUAGCUCCUUGUCAUAUACAAAUCAUAAACGGUAAUUGAUUACCGUUCUAGGCUUUUAAUGGUGAAAUCUAUCACUUUAAAAACGAUGACCCACAAGGCAGAAGCAAAUUUUGAAACGAUACUUUAAAGUCAAAACAAAUCAUAAUUCGCCAGUAAAGUGCAACUUUUCUACCAGUUGCCAUUUUCACUUUGUACAGAUUGCUGCAAUAUUCAACAAAAAGUUAAAUUACGCUUAAUACUCCCUCCGUCCCAAAUUGUAUGUCGCUUUAGAAAAAAAAUUUAUCCCAAAUUAUAUGUCGCUUUACAAUACCAAUGAAAUAUUUAUGUUACUUUUCCUAUUAUAUCCUUAACUAUUAAUUACUCUCUCUUCUUUCAAUUAUUUCAUUUAUCUUUUCCAUACCAUUUAUUAGGGAUAAUUUUGUAAAACAACUCAUAAUUUCUCUUCCCUAUGCAAUAUUAAUUACAUUUCUUAAUACAUGUGAAAUGGACAAAACGUCUUACAAUUUAGAACGGAGGGAGUAUUCAUCAACAUCAAGCUCAAAUAUAUUACUUAAAUUGGAAAAGAACAAAGCCUUACAAUGCAAAAGUCUUAAACGGAAAUUAUUAUCGUUCCAAUAUAUGACAGGUUUGAAAUGAAAAUUAAAUACCGUGUGAAAAAGAACAAUAAUUAACUACCAUUGUGGGCAAAUGGUAAUUAUUUGAGGGUAUUUUUGUUGUUAGUUUGAACUUUGAAGUGCAUGUGGACAAACUAUAAGCGUCUAAAGAACAAUUUUCCCACCACCCUCUCCCAUGUCGGCCCACUUAUUGAUGUCUACUAUAUUGUUUUUGAAAGCUCAUGAUUUUCUUCUUUAAAGUAAACUGAAUAUGGUAUUUCUCUCAAUUUUUUUAAUUGUCAAUUUUGCCUAAGAGUUCUAUUUAUAUUUAUUUGUCAUUUCAUUAAAUGAUUGAGUUUGAGUGGUUGAUGAAUUAUAAUUAAAGAAAAUUGUUUACAAGAAUUUGAGUUCGAAUCGUAUUUGAAACAAUAUGAAAUAUUUUAUAAGUGGAGGAAUGCUAGCAACACUCUCUUUUGAAUACUCUCUCUAACACUCACUUUUUUAUUGGAUGAAAUCAAUGUAGUACCUACACUUUGAAAAUGAAACCCACAUAUAAAGUGGUGAGACAUACAUUGAUUUCACCCAAUAAAAGAGUGAGUGCUCAAAAGAGAGUGUUGCUAGCAUUCAUCUUAUAAGUGUUACAUAAAAAAGACAAAUAAUUUCAUAAAAUGUAAAAAAAUUAUUGAUUAUUUUGAUAUGGGAAAAAUAAAGAAGUAAAUAUACAAAUACCUCUCGAAAUUAUAAAAUAUUUCAUUCCCCUCGAAAUUUAAGAAAAGACAAAUAUCCUCAUCAAACUGUAAAUUGUCAGUCAAAUUAGUUCAUUUAUCCAUUUCCUCAGUUAAAGUUGAUGAUGUGUCCGUUAAAUGACCAUAUCGCACUGACGCGUGUCAAAUGGAUAAUGACACAUCACAUAGGGCAUUUGUCCAUAAUUGUAGAGGUAUUUGCCCAUUUUUUGAAAUUCUAGGGGAGUAUUUCUCAUUUUUUGAAUUCACCAAUAUUUUUUCUUAAUUUUUUUAUGGAAUCGGAUUUUGCAACAGAUACUUUUUCCCCACUAUAUAACCUUACUUCAUGGAAAUUAUUACGUAUGCAUUGUUGAUCUAAAAUGAUUAUGCAUGCAUAUUAUUUGAAGUGUAUAAUAUGAUUUUUGUGUGUUUUCUUUCUUAUGAACAAAUUAGUUGGUUCACACUAAGUAUGUGUAUGUGUAUGCAUUGUUGGUCUAAAACGAUCGUGUACUGUUGAAUGCAAAUAAAUGUAUCGGAUAAAUUGUGUGCUAAUAUGUUAGUUUUUGUGACAAUGGAAUUUAUGCAAAAUCCCCUCUGAAAUUUGUCAUUUGCGUGCAUAAUGAACCAUGAAAUUGAGAAUAAAAAUUUACAUUGGUCCCUGUUAAAAAACUUUAAUAUGUGGCAUAACAACUCAUAAAAACCAACAUAGUAAUAAUCCUUAAAUAAGUUUUUAAACAUAACUCUUCAGUCUUCACCAUAAUGAUGUUCCAUCUAUAAUACAUAAACAAUCCACAUUGCAGACGGUAUGUAAUUUAUUUGCUAUGCACUUGUGAAUAUACCUCUGUGUGUGUUGUGGUAAUAUCUAAAUGUUUAAUAACUCAUGUUUAAUGUGAUAAUAUAUUAUGAUAAUAUGCAAAUAUGUUCAAUAACUAAGUUGUAGAAGUUGUAUAUUUAUAGGUUUAAAAGCUUGUUUAAUCAUUAUUUCUAUGAUGGCUUUUAUGAGUUAUUAUUGCAUAUAUUGAAGUUUUUUGAAUUAGGGACCAAUGUGAGUUUUUAUUGCCAAUUUGUAGGGCGUAUUUUGCACAUAAGUUACAAUUUUAAGGAGGAAUUUUGCAUAAAUUCCAUUGUCACGAAAACUGACAUAUUAACACAAUUUACCUCAUACUUUUAUUUCCAUUUGAUGAUACAUAAUCAUUUUAGACCAACAAUGCAUACAUACUUAGCGUGAACCAAAUAAUUUGUUCAAAAGAAAGAAAAUACAUAAUCAUUACAUACUCUUUUCAUGAAGUAAAGUUAUAAGGUGGGGUGAAAGUAUUAGUUGUAAAAUCCGAUUUCAUAAAAAAAAAAUGGUGAAUUCAAAAAAUGGGUAAAUAUCCGCUUGAAAUUUCAAAAAAAGGACAAAUAUCCCCUUAAAAUUAUGGGCUAAUACCCUCUAUGAUGUGUCACUAUCCAUCUGACACGUGUCUUUGCUAGGCAUGACAAUGGGGCGGGGUGGGGACGGGUUUUACCUUCCCCGUCCCCAUACCCGAUUCUCAUAUACUUAACCGUUACCCUACCCAUAUCCAACGGGGAUGAGAAAUUGAAUCCCAUCCCCGUCCCCGACGGGUUCGGGUAUCCCCACCCCAUCCCCGCAUCGAAUAAUUUUUUUUAAUAAAAAAUAGAAGUUUUUUUGCAUCACUAAGAGCAACUUUGUAAUACAUUAUCCAACAAUAUGCUCACUUUAACAUUUGUUAGACGAAAUGAUUUAGUUGACAAUUAUCAAACAAAAUAACAUGACAUAUCAACAUAAAGUAAUUUUUUACAUUUGGGACGGGUAUGGGUAUGAGUUCGGGGUGGGUACCUAUAUACCCGUGUGUUUUGAAAUCGGGGAAAAUUCAUACCCAUACCCAAACCCAGUCAAAACGGGGAAACCCGUCAAAUUGGGUUUGGUUCGGGCGGGUAACCGUGGGUAUGGGUUUUGUUGCCAUGCCUGGUCUUUGCCACAUGGUUAUUUAACAGCCACGUCAUCAACUUCAACGGAGGAAAUAAACGAAGAAACUGACUUGCCUAACAGUUUACGAUUUGAGGAAGGUAUUCGCCUUUACAAAAAUUUCAAGUGGGUAAUUGCAAGAUUUUCCAAUUUUAGAAGACAUUUUCCUGUUUACUUGAAAAUAUACUGAAAAAGAAAACUAAAAAAAAAAAAUAUAAGAUAUUUUAUGUCGAUCAUACAACUCAUGAAUAAAUAGUGUUAAUAUAUAAAUUAUUAUGACAAACGUGAGAAACAUGACAACUUAUUAUUUUUGGUUGAAGUAAAGGGCCUUAAAAAUUUCAUAUUUUAAAAUAUUGUAGAAUGUACAAAAAUAGACAGAUUGAUAUAUUUUACCUGGAUGAGUAGGUGCAUCUUGAACAGCUUGUGGAAGUCAAAAUUUACUCCGUUGAUUGAAGGAUAUUGAGAGAUAAUGAGUUUUAGCGUCUCUCCUUAAUUAAAGUUUUUUAUUGUGUGGGUUGUUGUAGGAGUAAUGGAGAAUUUUUUAAGAGAAAAUUACAAUCGCAUGAGCAAGGAUCUAGUUCUCAACAACAAUAUGUUCCAUGUAAUUUGAAAGAGUAACCAUCAGAUCCUGAAAAGCGCCUAAAACGUAAACAUAUCAUCCUAAUGAUCAAGAGAUAAUACACAAAACAUAUUUGCCAAGAGGACCAUGCCAACCUAUUAAACACAAUUUUCCUCAAAGAAAAAUUGGAAAUUCAAUGAGAGGAUUUUGUCCCUCUUGAUUUAAUGAAUUUGGUAAUCGGUUAGAGUACAAUAUUGAAAAAGACGCCGCAUUUUUUUUUAUAUUGUUAUCUUUUUAGAUCUAAUUUUUUUUUGAAGGAUUUUUAGAUAUAAUUUUGGAAAGUAGUGUGGUGGUGAUACAUUGAUAACAGAGAGAUUUAUAAAAUGGAAUAAAAAGUCUCACUCUCAUCGCAUGUUAGAGGAGGCUAUAAUUCUACUCACAAUAUUGCUUUGGAGAUUUGAUGAAACAAAAUUAUCAUAUUGAAGUUUUGAUGUCUAAGCAUUCCCAAACAACUCGUAACUUGUAUCUAAGGUGGUUGACGGCCUCACUUGAUUGCAUUCAACUUCUAUUGAAACGAGGAUUCCCCUUUCGCGGUCGUGGUGAACCAAUAGAAUCUUCUAAUAAAGGAAACUUCCUUGAUAUGCUUAGAUGGUUUGCUAACAAAAAAAAGAAGGUGAGGUGAAUUGUAUUAUAAAAUGCUCUUGAAAAUGAUAAAAUACUUGUCUGUCGACUAUUCAAAAGGAAAUUGUUAAUGUCGCCGCCGUGGAAACCACUAAAGUUAUUAUUGAGGAUCUUGGAGAUGAAUUGUUUGAUAUUCUUGUUGAUGAAUCAAGAGACAUAUCUGAUAAGGAGCAAAUAGUUGUUGUUAUAAGAUAUGUUAAAAAAUAUGGAAGUAUUAUUGAGAGAUUUUUAGGCAUUAAUUGUUCAAUUUACAACUACAACAACCAUCUCAUUAAAAAUUGCCAUAGACGAUCUAUUUUGCAAGCAUUGUCUUACUACUUCAAGAAUUCAUGGACAAGGUUAUGAUGGGGCUAGCAACAUGCAAGGACAAUUUUAUGGUCUCAAAAGUUUGAUCUUAUUAAGGGAAAGUUCAUAUGCAUUUUAUGUACAUUGUUUUGCUCAUAAAUAUUAACUUGCAUUGAUUGUUAUUUUCAAAAAUCACCUGCAAGUUAGCUCUCUUUUUAGAAAAGUAUCUACUUUAACAAAUGUUGUUGGGGGAUCUUACAAAUGGACUCACAUGCUUAGUUAGAGACAAAAAAUCCGUGUUAAGGAAACUUUGGAGAAUGGAGAAAUUGUAAGUGGAAGAGGUUUGAAUCAAGAAACUAAUAUGAAGCUUUCUGGUGAUACUUGUUGGAGUUCUCACUUUGCAACUUUUGUGACUUUGAUAAAUAGUUAUGUUACUGAUAUUCUUGAAAUGUUAAAAGAUCAUGUAUUGGUCAAAUAGAAGAGGUCAAGCAAAUAGUCUUUUAAUUCUAAUGAAUACUUUUGAUUUUGCACUCAUAUUACAUUUGAUGAAAAAAGUCUUUGGUAUUUCAAAUAAAUUGUCACAAUCAUUGAAAAGGAAAGAUUAAGACAUCGUCAAUGUUAUGAACUUGGUUAACAUCACAAAGAAGCAAUUACAAACUCAAAGAGAUGAUGGAUGAGAAUGUUUAUUGGAAGAGGUAAUUUUAUUUGAGUUAAAUAUUAUUUUAAACACUACAAAAUCAUUAGUUUUAAAGUUUAGUCCCUAUAAAGUUUUAAUGUUAAUUUUAGUCAUCCAAAAUAUUGUAGUUUGUAAAAAUAGUCCCUAUUUUAAAAACUUUUUUACAAAAAAAUGGAUAAUUUUAGUUCUCCAAAAUAGUUCAUAUAAAAUACAUAUAGGGACUAAAAGUGAAUUUUUUUUGUAGAAACUAAACUUAAAAACUUGUAAUUUAUAGAAACUAAAAACAUAUUUAACCCAUUUUAUAUAUUUUGCAAGGUAAUAUAUAUGUAUUAUAUAAAAAAGACAAAUAAUUUCAUCAAAAAUUACAAAAUUUAAUAAUUAUUUGAUAUGGGAAAAUAGUAUAAAAAAGAAGAUAUAAAGUAUUUUAUGUGAUGAUACAACUCAUGAAUAAAUAGUCUUUGAUAUAUAAAUUAUUACGACAAACAUGAGAAAUAUAGAAAGUUACACCUUUCAAAGCUUGGACACAAUUGUCCUUAUUCUUUAUUCUUUGCUAUGAAAUUAACUGCCGACAAAGUUACUAGUAAGUAACUUUUAUUAUUUAUAAAAUUCCAUCACUCCUGACAUAGCUGAGACAUCACUACAAGCCACAUGAAAUUUGGAAAAUCCAGCUCUCUUACAUAAACUCUCAAAUUCUUGUUCAGUUCUUUCCUUUCCAGUUGUUACUAAAAACAUGAGAUUAUCAAUAGCACAAGCAUGCUUAGAGAUUUUGCUUGGGUUUGGAACCUCUGGAAUUAUAUAAUCCAAAACAAUCACCUUUCCAUGUUUUGGUAAAGCUUUAUGACAAUUUUUUAAAAACUUCACACAUUCUUCAUCUGGCCAGUUAUGGCAUACAAGCUGCAAUAUAAGAGAAAAAAUGAUUGAAUAUUUUUAUUUUAUUUUUAUGUAAUACCAAAUUAAAUUUUAAAUUUUAUUUAUCAUGUAGACCAACCUUUAGUAAAAUGGCAUCACCACUUGGAACACUUUCAAACAUAUCUCCUCCAACAUGCUCAAGCCCUAGGAGCAAAAUAAUAUUUAUGGUACUUGUUAUUUUUGGCUUAAAAUAAAUGGCCUUAAAAAUUUAAUAUUUCAAAAUAUUGUUAAAUGUACAAAAAUAGAUUGAUUGAUAAAUUUUACCUGGAAGAGUAGGUGCAUCUUGAACAGCUUGUGGUAAGUCAAAAUUAACUCCCUUAAUUGAAGGAUAUUGAGAGAGAAUGAGUUUUAGGGUUUCUCCUACUCCACCUCCAACAUCAACCAAUGUUGAGAUUCCUUCAAAACCUUUAUAUAAUUUGAGGAUCCUUUUAAUUUCUAAUGGUCCAGAUUGUCCCAUUGCUUUGUUAAAAACAUCAUUCAAUUCUUUGUUUGUCUUGGUGUAUUGAUAAAAUGAUGUCCCAUUGAUACUUUGAAAAAGAUUUUUGACAUUAGGAUCCAAUAUUGCAUCCUUUGCGUCACCCCUGCAAGUGCACAUAAUCUUUUUUACCAUAAAAAUAUUACAAUAUUUUUUGCAUCAGGAUCCAAAAAUAUUACAAAAUUGCAUCCUAUAUUUACAAAAUUGCAUCACCCCUGUAAAAUUUUGUUUUUUGUUUUGAGAAACAAGAAACAAAUGCAAAAAUUACAAUACUUUUAAUUUACAAUUACUUCUCUAUCACCCAAUCAUUUUUAUAUUACCAUUUUAUCCAUGAAUGAUUAGUUUAAGAUAACUUUGUUUUGUGUUGGUCGUGUUCAUAAAAAAUACUUUUUGUGUUCUAUGAUUAAGUUUUAGUCUCUAUAAUAUAUGUAAAUGAUUUUCAACGGCAAAAUAGAAAAUAAAAUAUGUGUGUGAUGGUUAUAGUCACGUAAUAUUUGGACCAUCACUUAAAUUUGGAUUCUAUAUUGUUGCCCAAUUUGUUGAAUUUUCAAUAGGAGUCGUUUGUCACCUUUCAGAAAUAUAUUAAUGGAUUUUUCCAUCCUCGAUCUUAAAACCAUAUUUUUUCUAAGAUAAAUGCAAGAGAUAGAAAUAUUUUAUAAAAAAUUGUAUAUUUAAUGUUUUAAAAGUUUAAAUAACACUACUUAACUUGUGUCUGACUUAGUAUAACUUUGUUUAAAAAAAAUUAUCCCUCUCUAAAAGUAUUUUUCAGACGAAAUUUAUCCGAAAUUAUAGUUGUGUACUCUUCAUAAAAAGACCUCAUUUAUGUCUGGUUUGAUUGAAAUAACACUACAAGAAAAUCACUGAUUUGCUACGAAGAAAAUUGCAGCUAAGCGCAGCUAAUUUCUAGCAAAACUCUGAUGUUCAUUUGUUAAAUUGUUAGGACUGUCGACUCUAUUAAUUUUAGCCAUUGAAAACUUAAUAUUCAAAGAAAACGUGCAAAUAAAUUUAUAGUAUCUACCGAUCUUCGAAAAUAUUAGCAUAAUUCAAGGACCCUUUUGGUCUAAUGCUUGGUACCACUCUAAAAUUAUUGAGGGAGAGAAGUACUUUGUCUUCAUUAUAAAAUAAAUUUUACAAUAAAUUACUACUAUAUAUCUACCACUUUUAUAGGUUGAUUUAAUGUUAUAAAGAUAGGAAUUAGGUUCGAGCACCCCUAGUCCUAAAGAAAUAAGGUAAAUAUAUAUAUAUAAAUUUCGAUGUAACUGUUUUCAAGAUUUUAGGUUUCUUCUCUUUUGUCAAACCAAAAAAAUAAUCUUUAAGGUUUUAUUUUUUAUUUUUUUAACUUUGGACUGUGACACUAUUUUAAUUUCAAUUUUUGUUAUUAAAACCAAGAAAGUUUUAGGUGAUCACAAUUAUUUGGAAACAACAAUGAAUCACGUUCACAUGAUUGAAAAAAAAAAAAUUAAAUAAUAUGUAUUUUAAAACUAAUUAAAUGAUAUGUAUUUUAACGUGUUUGCGCGUUCAUAUAUAUUAUGUCUAAGUUAUUAUUGUAAACAUGCAAGUAUUUUUCUAAUAUAAAUUACUUCUAACUAGUAUACUUACCAAACACUGUUACAUCCUCUAUGGAUUAAUGUUGAAAGUGGACCUAAAGAACCUCCAUCUUUAUCCAAUGCAAAGUAUUGACCAAUUGAUGAGAGAGCAUAAACUCUUUCUCUCUUACCAUUUUCAUUGGUACGAAUGGAACAAGUAAGAAGAGAGUAACUAGCCAAUACAGUCAACAUACGUUCAAGCCUCUCAGCCAAUUCAUGAUGUUGAUUUGGAAGCUGAGAAGCAAUUUCAGAAGCAGAAAAACUAGAAUGUUCAUUUGAACUUUGUAACUUAGCUAUGAUAUCAAAUAAAUUGAGAUCAAUAGCAGCAUUUAAU
rnacentral:lncRNA from 1 species